rnacentral:lncRNA from 1 species
GACACUGUGUCCACCUAUAACUAAAAAAAUAAAUAUUUGUUAAAUUUGUUCCCAAGUAUUUUUUAAAAAGUGUGAAACAUUCUGAAAACUAUAAAACAUUGCCAAAAGACAUUAUAGACAAUCUAAAUAAAUGAAAAAACACCCCUGUUUCUGAAAUUCAUGUGGAAGUGCAAGGGACUCAGACAAUACAGUGCUGAAAAAGAACAAUUGUACAUCCUGAUUUUAAAACUUCACACAAUAAUAAUGAAGGCAUUGUGAUACUGGCACAAAGUUAGACACAUAUAGGUCAGUGGAAUAGACCUCAGAGUCCAGAUAUAUAAACUCAUUCAUUUAUGCUCAAAUGAUUUUCAACCAGAAUGACAGGUUCUUUCAAUCGAGAAAAUAUAGCCUGCUUCCGGCACAACUGGAUACUUUAUGUAAAAGAUUGAGGUUGGACACUUAAAACAGUAUACAAAAAAUAACUCAAAAUGGAUUUAAGAUCCAAAUGUAAGAGCUAAAACCAUAAAACUCCUUGGAGUUUUAAGUAUAAAUCCUCAUGGCAUUGUAUUUGGCAGCGGAUUUAUAGAUAUGACAACAAAAACAUGAGCAGCAAAAGAAAAAGAUACUGGACUUCAGAAUUUAAAAAAAAACUUGGGUUUGGCCUGCACAGUGCCCUAGAUUCAAUCCUCAGCACCAAAAAAUAAAUAAAAAUUUAAAAUCUUGGGGGGGGAAAUUGGUAGACAACCCACAGAAUGGGAUCCUUCUUCCUCAGUCUCCCAAGCCACUGGGAUUACAGACAUGCACCAUGGCACCCUGCUAAAAUCUUU